AAAGCUGUACUCUUGGAGCAAGAUAUUUGAUGCCAGAUUUGGAAAUAAAAAUUGGCUACCCUUGCAGAACGUCUGCUGCAUUGGUCAUGUCAGCCAGGAAACGCACAGUCUUCUUACUGAUCGUUUACAAGUGGGAACCUUUUAUUCUCAGCAUGGUAGGAACUUGUCAGAAUGUCAUGGAGAUCAAUGAAUUAACUGUGGAUUAACGUGAUUGGAAACGAGAGGCAAGUUUGACCCACUGUCUGUCGGAAAGGAAACUGGAAGUAAUGAGACUAGCGUCCAACGAGACCAACAGAACUGGAAGAUGGGCUGCUACUUGAAAAUAGCACAGUAAGAUCAUGAGAGCCAUUGCAGCUCCAGGAUUGCUGUGGCUAAUACAUGGAUUGCAAAGCAGGGAAUUUCUUCUCCCUCAUACUCUCCCUUAGCUGCCUCACACAGCUUCUGAGAAAGAGCUGGGCAGAUAAAUUAGCCUGAAUGCAAUUAAAACUAGAAAGUGUUUGGCUCUAAUGUUUCUUUCUAAAUUCAGUCAGGAAUUGUAACAAAUAGGUACAACUGGUAGCUUUCCCCAGCUAAUGGAGUAAUACCGGGGCUGAGCUUUUCCUGUUCUGUCUGCUCUCUGGAAAACUAUGUACUUCAUAACAUGUUCAGAGAUGACAUUGAUGCCAGGUCACACAGCACUGGCUGAGAAGCAUUGAU
rnacentral:lncRNA from 1 species